rnacentral:rRNA from 1 species
UGGGGGAAUUUUGGACAAUGGGCGAAAGCCUGAUCCAGCAAUGCCGCGUGUGUGAAGAAGGCCUUCGGGUUGUAAAGCACUUUUGUCCGGAAAGAAAUCCUUGGCUCUAAUACAGUCGGGGGAUGACGGUACCGGAAGAAUAAGCACCGGCUAACUACGUGCCAGCAGCCGCGGUAAUACGUAGGGUGCAAGCGUUAAUCGGAAUUACUGGGCGUAAAGCGUGCGCAGGCGGUUUGCUAAGACCGAUGUGAAAUCCCCGGGCUCAACCUGGGAACUGCAUUGGUGACUGGCAGGCUAGAGUAUGGCAGAGGGGGGUAGAAUUCCACGUNUAGCAGUGAAAUGCGUAGAGAUGUGGAGGAAUACCGAUGGCGAAGGCAGCCCCCUGGGGCAAUACUGACGCUCAUGCACGAAAGCGUGGGGAGCAAACAGGAUUAGAUACCCUGGUAGUCCACGCCCUAAACGAUGUC